AGAACGAACGCUGGCGGCGUGGAUAAGACAUGCAAGUCGAACGGAAUUAUUCUGGUGGGUAACUAUCAGGGUAGUUUAGUGGCGAACGGGUGAGUAAUAUAUGGGAAUCUGCCCGGAAGUGGGGGAUAGCUCGCCGAAAGGCGAAUUAAUACCGCAUUCUAAAGUAGGGGACCGCAAGGGCCUUACGCUUCCGGAUGAGCCCAUAUCCUAUCAGCUAGUUGGUGAGGUAAUAGCUCACCAAGGCUAUGACGGGUAGCUGGUCUGAGAGGACGACCAGCCACACUGGGACUGAGACACGGCCCAGACACCUACGGGUGCAGCAGUCGAGAAUUUUUCACAAUGGGGGCAACCCGUGAAGGAGCGACGCCGCGUGGAGGAUGAA
rnacentral:rRNA from 1 species